AGAGUUUGAUCCUGGCUCAGGACGAACGCUGGCGGCGUGCCUAACACAUGCAAGUCGAACGGAGAUGCUUAAGAGGAGACUUCGGUCAACAAUUAAGUAUUCUUAGUGGCGGACGGGUGAGUAACGCGUGAGCAAUCUGCCUUUCAGAGGGGGAUAACGUUCUGAAAAGAACGCUAAUACCGCAUAACGUAUUUUGACGGCAUCGUCGAGAUACCAAAGGAGCAAUCCGCUGAAAGAUGAGCUCGCGUCUGAUUAGAUAGUUGGUGAGGUAACGGCUCACCAAGUCGACGAUCAGUAGCCGGACUGAGAGGUUGAACGGCCACAUUGGGACUGAGACACGGCCCAGACUCCUACGGGAGGCAGCAGUGGGGAAUAUUGCACAAUGGGCGAAAGCCUGAUGCAGCAACGCCGCGUGAGGGAAGACGGUCUUCGGAUUGUAAACCUCUGUCCUUGGUGACGAAUAAAUGACGGUAGCCUUGGAGGAAGCCACGGCUAACUACGUGCCAGCAGCCGCGGU
rnacentral:rRNA from 1 species